rnacentral:rRNA from 1 species
GUCCAGACUCCUACGGGAGGCAGCAGUGGGGGAUAUUGCACAAUGGGGGAAACCCUGAUGCAGCGACGCCGCGUGUGGGGAGACGGUCCUCUGGAUUGUAAACCACUGUCCCCAGGGACGAAGAUGACGGUACCUGGGGAGGAAGCUCCGGCUAACUACGUGCCAGCAGCCGCGGUAAUACGUAGGGAGCGAGCGUUGUCCGGAAUUACUGGGCGUAAAGGGAGCGUAGGCGGGACUGCAAGUUGGGUGUCAAAUCUACCGGCUCAACCGGUAGCCGCACUCAAAACUGCAGUUCUUGAGUGAAGUAGAGGCAGGCGGAAUUCCUAGUGUAGCGGUGAAAUGCGUAGAUAUUAGGAGGAGCACCAGAGGCGAAGGCGGCUAACUGGACUGCAACUGACGCUGAGGCACGAAAGUGUGGGGAGCAAACAGGAUGAGAUACCCGAGUAAA